UUGAUUAGUUCCACUAAUAAUUGGAGCACCUGACAUAGCAUUUCCACGAAUAAACAAUAUAAGAUUUUGAUUACUGCCCCCAUCACUUACAUUUCUACUAAUAAGAAGAAUAGUAGAAAGAGGUAGAGGAACUGGAUGAACAGUAUAUCCACCACUUUCAAGAAACAUAGCACAUAGAGGUUCAUCAGUUGAUAUAACUAUUUUUAGAUUGCACCUAGCUGGUGCUUCAUCUAUUUUAGGUGCAGUAAACUUUAUCUCUACAAUUAUAAAUAUACGAACCAGAAAAAUAAAUUUAGAUCAAUUACCUCUAUUUGUAUGAGCUGUAAUGAUUACAGCAAUUUUACUUCUUCUAUCUUUACCAGUAUUAGCUGGAGCAAUCACAAUACUUUUAACAGAUCGUAAUUUAAAUUCUUCAUUCUUUGACCCAGCAGGUGGUGGUGACCCAAUCUUAUACCAACAUUUAUUUUGAUUUUUUGGUCACCCUGAAG
rnacentral:rRNA from 1 species